rnacentral:rRNA from 1 species
AGAUUAAGUUAUUAAGGGCGCACGGUGGAUGCCUUGGCACUAGAAGCCGAUGAAGGACGUUACUAACGACGAUAUGCUUUGGGGAGCUGUAAGUAAGCUUUGAUCCAGAGAUUUCCGAAUGGGGAAACCCAGCAUGAGUUAUGUCAUGUUAUCGAUAUGUGAAUACAUAGCAUAUCAGAAGGCACACCCGGAGAACUGAAACAUCUUAGUACCCGGAGGAAGAGAAAGAAAAUUCGAUUCCCUUAGUAGCGGCGAGCGAAACGGGAAGAGCCCAAACCAACAAGCUUGCUUGUUGGGGUUGUAGGACACUCUAUACGGAGUUACAAAGGACGACAUUAGACGAAUCAUCUGGAAAGAUGAAUCAAAGAAGGUAAUAAUCCUGUAGUCGAAAAUGUUGUCUCUCUUGAGUGGAUCCUGAGUACGACGGAGCACGUGAAAUUCCGUCGGAAUCUGGGAGGACCAUCUCCUAAGGCUAAAUACUCUCUAGUGACCGAUAGUGAACCAGUACCGUGAGGGAAAGGUGAAAAGCACCCCGGAAGGGGAGUGAAAUAGAACCUGAAACCGUGUGC